UACGGAGGGUGCGAGCGUUGUCCGGAAUCACUGGGCGUAAAGGGCGCGUAGGCGGCGCGAGGAGUCGGGGGUGAAAGUCCGGGGCUCAGCCCCGGAUCGGCCUUCGAUACUCUCGCGCUGGAGCACAGUAGAGGCGGGUGGAAUUCCGGGUGUAGCGGUGGAAUGCGUAGAGAUCCGGAAGAACACCGGUGGCGAAGGCGGCCCGCUGGGCUGUGGCUGACGCUGAGGCGCGACAGCGUGGGGAGCAAACAGG
rnacentral:rRNA from 1 species